AAAGAGGUGUGAGAUGGUACACGUCUGUUGAACAGCUGACAGCGACAUGGAGGAAGAAGAAGGUGAUGUUGAAGAAGGCAAGCGUACAAAUGACUGCCUCUUUUCUUACCAAUUCCAGUUCCCAGUUCCAUCAUUUUACCGCUAGUUACUGCUACCUCUGUGGUCAUGGCGGCUUGCCUCUCCUCCACGCUCCCUCGCCAGACCAUCCACCGCCGCUUCUGCUUGACCCCUAAGCUGCCCUCCUCUUCCACCACCACCUACUACCGGCGCCCCCACCGCCGGAUCAUUGGAACUAGCUCCAUCGCUGUCUCUGCCCGUGCCUCCUCUGCGGCGGCCGCUGCUCCGGGCCUCGACGCCGACGACAUCCGACACCCCCUCGACAAGCAGAACACUUUGCUGCUCAAAGCAAUUCCCGGGCUCAAUGAUAUAGGCAAGGCUUUGCUAGGUCCGGUUUCUGAGCAAGUUAUGGUUCUUCAGAACAUUGGAUCCUCUGUUCUCGUCUCUGAGAAUCAGUUGCCAGAACUCCACCAGCUCAUGAUUGAAGCUGCAAAAACCUUGAACAUAGAAUCUCCGGAUCUAUACGUACGGCAAAAUCCCGUUCCUAAUGCUUACACCUUAGCAAUCAACGGAAAAAAGCCAUUUGUCGUGGUUCACACAAGCCUCGUGGAACUACUCACUAGAAAGGAACUACAGGCUGUUUUGGCACAUGAGCUUGGUCACCUCAAGUGCGACCAUGGCGUGUGGCUUACCUUUGCCAACAUACUAACAACAGGAGCAUACACUGUCCCUGGUUUUGGGAUGGUUGCCGGGUUCCUGGAAGAACAGCUGUUCAGGUGGCUGCGAGCUGCGGAGCUGACAUGCGAUAGGGCAGCCCUUCUCGUAGUGAAAGACCCCAAGGGCCUGUUGUUUACUGUCAAGAGGUUGUCAUGUCGGUCCUCAUGAAGCUGGCGGGAGGGUGCCCGUCCCUGGCGGACCAGCUGAAUGUGGACGCCUUUCUGGAGCAGGCCCGCUCGUAUGACAAGGCCUCGUCGAACCCGGUUGGGUGGUACAUCCGCAACGCUCAGACGAGAGAGCUGUCACACCCGUUGCCUGUGAUGCGAGCGCGAGAGGUGGACGAGUGGUCGAGGAGCCAAGAAUACAGGACGUUGUCGCGGAAAAUGUUUCAAUAAUCUGUCUGUGUGCAUAUGAAACGAGAGAGAAGCUAGGUGUGGAGUGAGUGCACUAGUGGUGGACUGGUGGUGAAAAACAAAGGAAUUCAAUAGCCAGUCUAUGAAAUGAGAGAGGCUAGCUGUGGACUAGUGCACUAGUGAUGGUGCUGAAAAUUAAGUAACUAGUAGAGUUGAAUAGAUUGCAUAUUUAUGCAACUGAAAUUAUAUUGGUUGUAAAUGAUUAAACUGAAAAAUCAAAUACUGAUCUGUGUUGUGCUUC